rnacentral:ncRNA from 1 species
AGGGUGCUUACAAAACAGUGGCCAUGGACAUCGGAAUCCUCUAAGGAGUGUCUAACAACUCACCUGCCGAAUCAACUAGCCCUGAAAAUGGAUGGCACUGGA